UGCGGGCUUGCAAAAGUCAAAUAACUUGCUGAAGGUGCCCCAGCUCGUGAGAGGCCAGGUUUGAAUCUAGAUGAACCAGACCCUAAAACUCUCUCUCUGCCUCUUAUUCCAUGCUGUUCCCCCAGUCAGAAGACCCGGGUACCCUCCCAGAUUGGUUUGAGGCUGAGAUAAGGCCAUUAUGCCUACAGAAGAGCACUUUGAAAACCAUGAAGAGAUAUCCAAGAAUGAAGAUUAGCAAAGGCUAGACCUUAGAGAUACCGUGUGAAGAUACAGACAUACUCCAGCUGCAGUUCCUCCCCGGUCUGUACACCUGGCCCAUUGCCUCUGCGUUGAUGUCAGCUGUAAGCAUGCACAGUUCAGCUGUUGGUUCCCAUUCCAUGGAUCCAGCCUCUGGGCACACUGCUGACAUUCAUUUGCCUCAUGGUUCACAGUUCCUGUCCACAUCAAGGCCAAGCCAGCUCAUCCAGGGAGGCCAUAGAUUGGCGAAGUGCGUCCUCUGCACCACCCAAUGCUCCACUGCAAUGGAAGCACUUGAGGCUGCUUCUCUGGAUUGUGAGUGGGUUCUGUUAAAAUGUCUACUUUGGAACAUGUCCGCUGAACUCUGGAUCCAGGCUGUGUCAAUAGGGUAGUGUGGUGCCUCCUGUACCUGUCUCUGCCUCCUACAGUCCUUUUUAUUUAUUUUAUUUCAUUUUUUAUAAUAGAGACAGGGUCUUGCUAUGCUGCCCAGGCUGGUUUUGAACUCCUGGGCUCAGGCAGUCUUUCUGCCUCGGUGUCCCAAAGUGCUGGGAUUACAAGCAUGAGCCACCGCACCUGGCCGUGUCCUUUACCAUCUUCAGAGGGCUUAGCUUGCAGUUUCAGCAG
rnacentral:lncRNA from 1 species